CUGUUUUCUGGGUUGUUGCACCAUGUAGUCAGUCUGGUAGAAGUUCACGACAUCUCAAAGGUGCUUGCUGCCUCCAUCAUCAGAAUGAUAAAAUGCUGAUAAACUUCUACCACACUACACGACACAACGACCGAAAAACUAGAAUCUUCAUAGUCACUGCCGUGAGAACCUCAAAUGCUACUCGAUGCUUUAAGUUGGCAACGUAGGCGACGUAUGCGGUGAACCGCGUACUGUCCUACCAUCUAUCAACAGCACUGCCAAGAAUACAGUAGGUACAAAUUUUGUCAUCUAACUUCAGGAUUUCCCUCCGUCGAAAUUGAAAUAUCUGAACUUUGCCACAUUUUCAAAGCUUCCAUUAGCUAUCUUUACGUUACGAUUUUCCCCUGCAUUUUAGUGACACGAUGAUGAAUUUAGAAGAAUGAGAUGGGUAGGGCAUGUUGUACGCAUGGUUGGCGCAAGAAUUGUGCACCGGAUUAUGGUCGGGAAGCCUGAAGGGAAGAGACCACAGGGGAGAGACCUAGACGUAGAUGGGAGGAUAACAUCAAGUGAGAUGUAUGGGAAAUAGGAGUUAAAGGGAUGGAUCUUACUUCAUCUUCUAAUAAAAAGGACGAAUCAUCUAUCCUGUUCCAUUCGGCAGACAAUUCGCAGAGAUCAGUGGUAUUGAACAACAAUUACAUUCAAGAUGGAAUUAGGGGCAGAUUAAAUUUGAACAAUGUUUGCAACAAUGCAUAUGUACAAUUUUUACGAAAGAUAUAUUCAAAGCUGUUACGUUUGUAAACCUGAAAUAAUGUUUUAUGGGUAAUUCCAAGAUGGAUGCAUGUUUGUUAUGUAUGCAUUGUAUUGACUGUAACUGAAAUAAAAUCAGGAAAAUAAAACUGAGCAUAACAGCUGGAAGUGCUACGACACGAAACUUAAACUGAAGUAUAUACAAAAAAGUCCAGAAAAUGCGAAAAAUAUACCUCAACAGGUACGUAGAAUAAGAAGCUACAUUUUAAAAGUUCAUGUUUUAACUUGGGUCAUCUGUGUACUGUUUGAGUUUAUACAUACACCUAAUAAUUGAGUUACUGAAAAGCAAUACAUAAAUGUUGUGGGAUCUGGGAAGUUACGCAUUCGUUUAUUAUCGGGUUUAGUGAUGGGCGUAUAGUCCAUUUUAUUCAGGUUAAGGUUAUUCAUUUUCAGCCUUCCGAUAAAAUCAACACUAGAAUACUAUAUAGCCUUACCAACAUUUUUAGACAGGAGGGAAAUUGAAUCAAUUGAGCAAAGACAGAAUGAGAAUUAUAGCUGCUUAAAUGAAAUGCAUGAGAGAAACAUCAGAAUACACUUUGAUGAAGAAUAAAAGCGAUUAAAUUGGACAUGUUGCAGAAUGCAAACAACCACAUUUCCUACAUUGCAAGUAUUAAAAAUGAAAUUCAUAUGGAUUAGGGAGCAGAAGAGAACCUUUAAAAAGUCUUUUGGACAGAUUUGGUUGGAAUGCAAUAACAAGUGGCUUUUCUCUUUGACUGCUAGAUGAUAUUUGAUUAUGCUAACAUUCAUUUCUUAAGAUUUGAUAUCAGCAAUGUGCUACCUUUUACUUCUUAAUCUGUCAAUACUGGUUGGCAUGACAGCAUAUGUAACACUGUCUGAUAAUAUAGAAGUCUGGUAUAUAUGAAGUGUAAGAUGAGAAUAGGAAAAUGACCUUAGAUAAAACAGGAUAGGUUUGUACCAAAACAUCUAAAUACUGCCAAACCUGUGAAAUGUUAUAAUUUCAUUAUUCCAAAGUUCAGAGCAGUGUAAUUUAUGUGCAAUGCUACAGAGUACCUUUUCCUUCUGUAAGAUUUAAAUUUUUUAUCACAAUGUUCCACUCUAUCCAGCAACUCUUUGACUUUCAUGGCUUCUAUCAGAUAUGUCUUUGUUACCAUGUUCUGGUUGUGCAGCCUGGAGAGUUACAAAAGUAAAUGGCCAAUUUUUUAAUGUUAAAUGUUAAAAGCAUAUUCACUUCCUUGUCAAAAUAACUUCUGAAGGGCAAAUGGACAUUCCUGUAAUUGGGAAUUGAAGGCUCCCAGAGUGUACAGUGGGCUAGAAUUGAGUCAAAAUGGGACAGAAUUAUUUUUCAUGACUUAUGGAUUCCAUUGUAACUAAAAUCAAUAUUAAUAUAUAAAUUCACAUAUUUUUUCUAACUACAAGCUGUUUUCACAUAAAUAUACAGGAAAAAUCUAUAUCUUAAGCUACAUCAUUUUGAAAUUUCAAAAGUUAUUCUUUGUUCCAAAAGGCAGUUGGCAUUGUUGGUAAGAUUUCCUUAGACUUGAUACAAGAGGGUCCAAAGAUGUUGAUUGUUCAAUAACUUUGUUAUGGUGUUGUGAUGAGAUGUCUUAUGUCAUAUUCUCAUAAUAUUUUCAUAUCUUUAGUCUGAGUCUCCUUACAUGUCUGUUCAAUCAGAAGCAUGGAUGAUUUAAUUUGAGUUCUUUGGAUAAGAAUUUUAUGGAUGCUGGCCAAUAAAUACAACCAGUGGUAUUUCUCAACAGUUUUGUGAUUUCAAGUGGAUAGACAUUAAAAGCCUCACUGUCCAUUUCUUGUCAACAUGGAAUUACUUGUAGGACAACUGGAAAAAAAAAUUAAUUAGUUCUUGAUCAAUCCGUUAUGGAAGGUCCAUUUGUAGGUGAAAUUCUAAACUUUUUAUGUCAUUAGAAAUUUAGUAGCAUAGGUGCCUCAUAACAUCUUGUGCACCUCCGCUCUGGCUGUUGAAUGUUCCAAGCAAGAGUAACGUUUUCUAAUCAUGGCAUCUUGGAUGUGGGUGCCCUUGUGACUCUAUAUAGAUAAUCUGGACUGGAGAUAUCUCAUAUGUGAUUCAUGUAACCCACUUGUCUAAAAGCGGCCCAUCCACGUAUGAGUCUGACUUGCGAGUCUGGCUCGGCGAGCUUGACUCGUGAGCCGGGCUCGGAUAUAUUUCACCACACAUGCAUAGCAGACUCGGCUUGUGAUACCCCACCCACAAACGAGGUUGGCUGAAUUGGAGCCAAGCCGGACUCGCAAGCCAGACUCGUACAUGGAUGGGCCGCUUAAGAAAUGCUCAAUUCUCCAUAACUCUGCCUUACUUUGAGCAGCUUCCUUUGAUCUGCAGAUUUUGACAGUCUCAUUUAUUGCGGUAUCUUCCCCAGUUAAGAGUGUCUUAACAUCUCUAGAGAAUGGACCAACCAUAAAUUGGUCUUGGAGGACUUGAUCAAUGAAGGUGCAAAAAUUUCAGCUUCUGGGACUCGCAUAUGAACUGACUCCUCCUCCCUUUGACACUAUUGGUAAAAGUUAUAGCUUUAGACUAUAACCAGAUAUUUUGGAGUUUAGUAUUUACAGAGAAUAAACAGUUAUCACUAUGGGGAAUGGACUCUUUUAACUGUGGAGCAACCAACCCUUUGGUUAUUUUAUAGAUGUCCAGUGGACAAUGUAGGGGUAGGAGCAACGCUUUUGCUGACAUAGGCACAUCCAAUAGCUGUAAGUACCAUGUAAAUUAGUCCAGAAGUUCUGAAAUGUCUUCCUCUUUCCCCACGAACUUAGUUGGUUGGUCAAGGAUUACAACUGGGAAAGCUGAUUCCUGUUCUGUUUGUUGAGAUGCCAUUGGGAGGCCCACUUUGACAUCGACAGUCUGUAUCAUCAAGAUGUGUUAAAGUUACUGACCUUGUAAUCACUAAUAUAUUUGCUCUCUGUGA